AUGACAGGAAAGUAUGUAAAGGAUCCUAUGCUUGACUCAUAUCCUUAUGGUGGUUACUCGUAUAUGUUCUAUACAUAUAAUUUUUCCUCAGUGAUCGUUAAGGGACGUGAGCUUGAUUAUGGUAUUGGCAUUUUGGAUUUGGUGAGCGUUGACUUAUCUUUGAACCAACUAACUGGGAGAAUACCAGAAGAAAUAGCUGCUCUUGAUGCAUUGAUGAACUUGAAUCUAUCGUGCAACCAGUUGAGUGGGAAAAUCCCAAAUAAGCUUGGGGCCUUGCAGGCUUUGGAAUCACUUGACCUCUCAAGUAACAUGCUUUCUGGUGGAAUCCCUUCGAGCCUGUCAGAUAUAACCUAUUUGAGUUACUUGGACUUGUCUGAUAACAAUCUCACUGGGAGAAUACCAUCAGGUCGUCAGCUUGACACCCUCUACACCCAGCAACCUUCCAUGUACAGUGGCAACAGUGGUCUAUGUGGCCCUCUUCCAAACA
rnacentral:rRNA from 1 species